rnacentral:misc_RNA from 1 species
AUCGUAAUAUAUAUACUUCUUUGUCGAUUGUCUUGCUCAAGGCUAUAAAUGAAUGGAUCAUAUUUCCAACCACAUUUGCUAAAUCGUAAUAUAUAUACUUCUUUGUCGAUUGUCUUGCUCAAGGCUAUAAAUGAAUGGAUCAUAUUUCCAACCACAUUUGCUAAGUCGUAAUAUAUAUACUUCUCUGUCGAUUGUCUUGCUGAAGGCUAUAAACGGAUGGAUCAUAUUUCCAACCAUAUUUGUUAAGUUGUAAUAUCUAUAUGCUUUGAUGCAUGCAUUUUAUAUCAUCAUUUAGGAGUAAUUUUUGCACAUAAUUUACCCUUAUUCAUAGCUAUUAUUUUAGAUAUUAGUAUAUAUUUAGUCAAUUUUACAAUUUUCACAUUUCUUAGUUUAAUUUUUGGAAUUUAUUUGUUUUGUAGGUUAAAUCUGGAGAAAUUUGAUGUAUUUUGAUCAGAGUAGCCAUUUGGAGGAGAUUAAAGUCGAAUUGCAAAAAUUUUGAAGUUGAGUUAAAAAAAGGCCGAGAGCGACACAACCGAUUUAGCUUAUGUCGCAGGUUGUGUCGAUCGUCAGAUAUUCACGCCGAGAGCGACACAACCCGCAACACAACCCGCGACACAACUGACU